rnacentral:rRNA from 1 species
GUUGGCUUAGAAGCAGCCAUCCUUUAAAGAGUGCGUAAUAGCUCACUAGUCGAGUAUCUCUGCGCCGAAAAUGUACCGGGGCUAAACAUAUUACCGAAGUUAUGGAUUUAUAAUUUAUUAUAAAUGGUAGGGGAGCGUUCUAAGGGCGCUGAAGGUAGAUCGUGAGGACUACUGGAGCGCUUAGAAGUGAGAAUGCCGGUGUGAGUAACGUAAGGUAGGUGAGAAUCCUACCCACUAUUUGACCAAGGUUUCCAGGGUCAAGUUCGUCUUCCCUGGGUUAGUCGGGACCUAAGGCGAGGCUGAAAAGCGUAGUCGAUGGACAACAGGUUUAUAUUCCUGUACUACUUAUAGGACUGAUGGAGUGACGGAGAAAGCUAGGAAGAGCCAGUUAUUGGAUUCUGGUCUAAGCGUUUAGGUUGAUGCACAGGAAAAUCCGUGAUAUCGAUAAGACUGAAGCGUGAUGGCGACGUGGUCUACGGACCGCUAAGUCUUUUGAAGCUAUGCUUCCAAGAAAAACUUCUAAAGAUAUGUUAUAAGUACCCGUACCUAGAACCGACACAGGUGGUCAAGGAGAGAAUCCUAAGGUGAGCGAGAGAACUAUGGUUAAGGAACUCGGCAAAAUUACCCCGUAACUUCGGAAUAAGGGGAGGUUUCUUCGGAAACCCGCAGUGAAUAGGUCCAGGCAACUGUUUACCAAAAACACAGGUCUCUGCUAAAGCGUAAGCUGAUGUAUAGGGGCUGACGCCUGCCCAGUGCUGGAAGGUUAAGAGGAGAUGUUAGUUGGACGCAAGUCGAUAACAACGAAGCUUCGAAUUGAAGCCCCAGUGAACGGCGGCCGUAACUAUAACGGUCCUAAGGUAGCGAAAUUCCUUGUCAGGUAAGUUCUGACCCGCACGAAAGGCGUAAUGAUCUGGACGCUGUCUCAACCAUAGACUCGGUGAAAUCUUAAUACCUGUGAAAAUGCAGGUUACCCGCGACAGGACGGAAAGACCCCAUGGAGCUUUACUGUAGCUUGAUAUUGAAGUUAGGUGAUUUAUGUAGAGGAUAGGUGGUAGACUGUGAUGUAUGGACGCCAGUUCAUACGGAGUCGCCCUUGGAAUACCACCCUUAAAUCAUUUGACCUCUAACUUACUCCCGUUAUCCGGGAGGAGGACAGUGUCUGGUGGGCAGUUUGACUGGGGCGGUCGCCUCCCAAAGAGUAACGGAGGCGCUCAAAGGUUCCCUCAGAUUGGUCGGAAAUCAAUCAAAGAGUGUAAUGGUAUAAGGGAGCUUGACUGCGAGACCUACAAGUCGAGCAGGUGCGAAAGCAGGACAUAGUGAUCUGGCGGUAGAAUAUGGAAUUGCCGUCGCUUAACGGAUAAAAGUUACCCUGGGGAUAACAGGCUGAUAGCGCCCAAUAGUUCACAUAGACGGCGCUGAUUGGCACCUCGAUGUCGGCUCGUCACAUCCUGGAGGUGGAUUCGCUUCC